rnacentral:ncRNA from 2 species
GUGCUCGCUUCGGCAGCACAUAUACUAAA